rnacentral:lncRNA from 1 species
CUGAGAUGUGGGUAAGAGGAACUGUUAGGAACUGUUGUCAGGACCAGACCUAGCCCUCAAUUAUGUGUUUCCUGCAGGAAUACCGUGCUGAGCCUUUGCCUUGAGAAUGCAGAGCUGAAAGAGCAGAUGGGAGAAGCAAUGUCUGAUGGAUGGGAGAUCGAGGAAGACAAGGAGAAGAGCGAGGUGAAUCCUUGGUGAAGCAGGACAGCAAGCAGGUCCAGGUGAACCUCCAGGACCUGGGCUAUGAGACUUGUGGCUGAAGCGAGAAUCAGGCUGAACAGGAGGAAACCACCAGUCCUGAGUGUGAG